AUGAAGACAAAUACAAUGUUAGCAUUCAUUUCAAGAGGCCUAAAAUAUAAAAACAAAUUUGUUAUGCUGAGGCUUUUUAAGGCACUGGCAAGACCACACUUGAAGUAUUGGGACUGUUUGGACCCCUUAUCUAAGAAGAGUACAGUGAAUCUUUGCAAUCCUUUACACUGAGCUGAUGUGGAGGGUGUCACUGAGUAUACGUGAUGGAAGUCCAUGGAUUUUUUGGAUUUUAAGGGAAAUGAUGAAUGGAGAUGUAAAGGCGAGGUAUCGGCUUUUAUUGACUGGAAGAAGGAACAAGCAGUGGUUGACCACCAUACUACAUCCUGGAGACAGGGAGGCUGGGCUCAGACCUCAAUCGCCUUUAUACAGGGGUCUAUGGGAGGAGCCACAGGAGCAGUCAGCAGGGGACGUGUCCAGACAGGUGUAUGUAGUUCACUACAUCACCACCAGUAUGUGUUGUGAAAUUUGUUAACUUUCACAACACAUGGACUCUCCUUAUCCAAACCUGCAGAUCCCACCACAGAUACAGACUGCACUGCUCACAAGAUUUAGUGGAGUUCAGAGCAGAUUGAAUAUUUGUGUAUGUACCAAAAGCCAUUAAAGAAGUUGAAACACUACCAAAAAUUAUUAAAAGUUAAAAUGUUUAAAAAGCAGUAGGAGAUUUUUAAAAAUUGAAAAUAAAUUAAUUAAGAAAAAGGAAAGGAAAUUAGCUUGUA